rnacentral:rRNA from 1 species
ACGGGUGAGUAAUGCUUAGGAAUCUGCCUAUUAGUGGGGGACAACAUCUCGAAAGGGAUGCUAAUACCGCAUACGUCCUACGGGAGAAAGCAGGGGAUCUUCGGACCUUGCGCUAAUAGAUGAGCCUAAGUCGGAUUAGCUAGUUGGUGGGGUAAAGGCCUACCAAGGCGACGAUCUGUAGCGGGUCUGAGAGGAUGAUCCGCCACACUGGGACUGAGACACGGCCCAGACUCCUACGGGAGGCAGCAGUGGGGAAUAUUGGACAAUGGGGGGAACCCUGAUCCAGCCAUGCCGCGUGUGUGAAGAAGGCCUUAUGGUUGUAAAGCACUUUAAGCGAGGAGGAGGCUACUCUAGUUAAUACCUAGGGAUAGUGGACGUUACUCGCAGAAUAAGCACCGGCUAACUCUGUGCCAGCAGCCGCGGUAAUACAGAGGGUGCGAGCGUUAAUCGGAUUUACUGGGCGUAAAGCGUGCGUAGGCGGCUUAUUAAGUCGGAUGUGAAAUCCCCGAGCUUAACUUGGGAAUUGCAUUCGAUACUGGUGAGCUAGAGUAUGGGAGAGGAUGGUAGAAUUCCAGGUGUAGCGGUGAAAUGCGUAGAGAUCUGGAGGAAUACCGAUGGCGAAGGCAGCCAUCUGGCCUAAUACUGACGCUGAGGUACGAAAGCAUGGGGAGCAAACAGGAUUAGAUACCCUGGUAGUCCAUGCCGUAAACGAUGUCUACUAGCCGUUGGGGCCUUUGAGGCUUUAGUGGCGCAGCUAACGCGAUAAGUAGACCGCCUGGGGAGUACGGUCGCAAGACUAAAACUCAAAUGAAUUGACGGGGGCCCGCACAAGCGGGGGAG